rnacentral:lncRNA from 1 species
GAACAAAUCGACGUGCUGACCAAAUGCAACUUCCUGUACACACAUUUCUUAAUCUGCGCGUAUAAAUUAGCCUAAAUUGAGCUCACAUUGAUGAAAUAGUUCCACACAAACACCGAUUGAAAAAUCUGUACAUACAAGUUCUUCCAGCAUAGUACUUUCCAUGAAUCAUACAGUGCCACCGCGUUAAUUAGCACAAACACUAAUCGGUGGAGCAUAGCAAUCUGUAUCAUACAUGUGCUGAAACAAGAACGGAUUGCAAAGUUGGGAUGAUGAUAACAUUGGAUCGAAUGGCAAGAAAUUAUGA